UUUUGUUUUCUUCUUUAUUAGCAGAAUGAAUAGAUGAAUAGAACUGUCCGUAUAUUAAGAAAAGAGACAAAAUGGUGUUUACCGUCUAUAAACAUUAUAUGUGCAUGCUCUCGUUCAGUUUACGGCCAUACCACACUGAACACAGGUGUGCUGAUUGGUGAGCUGAUUGGUGUGAUAGUGAGUAGGAAGAGACAGGUGGACUGAGUAGGAGUGCUUCAGACCUGUGCUUUUUCGUUAAUCUUUAUACAGGCUUAGACCUCUGUUUUUUGUUUCUUUUUGUUUUAGUGGAAAGUUUCUUGCCCCCCUAACAUCUUUUGGUGUUAGGGGAGGAGUGUUUUCCUUUCCUUUGUUAUUUUCAAACAGUAAAAUGGCAGAGGACCAUGGGAAUGACAAAGAGAAAUCAAGCAGAUGCGGAGAGGACGGUACAGAAGGAAGAAGAAGCGAAAGAUACAGUCGGGAGCUCACUGUGAGAGUUGUGACUGAAGGAGAGGAAGAUAUUUCUACGAUGGACAUCCUGAAAAUAAUAAGAAAAGAGUGUGGUGUGGCGCUGGGAUGCAGAGCGCGCGGUGACUGCAAAUUGGAGAUUACAAUGGAGACAGGAGAGGGGAAGAAGAAGUUAACAGAUGGGCUAAAGUAUAGAGGCACGUCAAUCAUUGGAUAUAACAUGAACAAUGACGAAAUGGUGGUUUUUUUUUUUUAAUCUGCAUGUUGAAGAUGGGCAGAUAUUUGUCCGGCUAAAGGAGUGGGGAGUUGGAGCUGCCUCUGAAAUCAGGAGAAGGAAGUGGCCGGGAACAGACGUGGUGGACGGGACACGCUACUUAAAAGUGAAGUUUACAGAGGAGUUGAAUGGAAGGAUGGGAACAUUUCCGUGUUGUUAAUGAUCGACAGGAGAGAGUGUGCCGUAUGUGCAUGAAGCCUGGACACAUUUUACGUGAAUGCCCGGAGCUAAGAUGUGUGUGUGGAGAGCAAGGACAUUUUGCAAGGGAGUGGGUAGCGCGCAGAGAGGGGGAGAGCGUGGCUGGGGGGAGAGAGUGCCCAACGAGAAAAUACAACGGGAAAACAAAGCAGGAAUGAAGAGGAGCAGGAGGAAGAGGUAGCUAGAAUGGAGAGGAUAAGAAGAAAGCGGAGGAGCGGCGUGCAGUGUGAGAGGUGUGGAUGUUCCGGGUACUACAGCUGCUGCGGUGAAGGUUGGAGGUGCUGGUGGAGGAGCUUGCGGUGGGAAAGGUGGAGGAGCGGGAAGCUGGAGACGAUGGAGGCAGCGAGGUCGGAGACGGCGGGGGAGGAGCUGAUGGGGUUGAGGGGCGCUAUUCGGACGUGUCUGAGGUGGAGGAGGAGCGUGAUGAUGGAGACUAUGGGGAAGCUGAGGACGACGAUGAGGAUGAUGACGAGGCUGAUGAGGACGAGAUGGAGGUGGAGGGACAUCUAGAGGGGGAGAGCGUUGGUGAGCCGAAGGCGAUGGCAAGGAGCAGAGGAAAACAGAGAGAAGAGGCUCCUUUCUUGGAGAAGAGGGUGUCCAGUAGGAUUACUGCAAAGAGGAAAGCCGAGAAAACGAGAAACGUGCAGAAAAGAAAUAGGCUGGGUUCCAGAGUAGACGGAGAUCCCUCCGUGAGCCACGACGCAAUGCCUCAGGACAGCCGGAGAGCAACAGAGCGCAGAGGAGAGCGACCUGUCAGCUGUGACUCGAAAGUACCAUUAACUGUGUGAGCCAGAAGGCAGUGGCAAAUAAAGCUGUGUGUGACACUA